rnacentral:rRNA from 1 species
AGGCCGAAAGGCGUAGUCGAUGGGAAACGGGUUAAUAUUCCCGUACUUGGUGUUACUGCGAAGGGGGGACGGAGAAGGCUAUGUUGGCCGGGCGACGGUUGUCCCGGUUUAAGCGUGUAGGUGUGUGUUCCAGGUAAAUCCGGUUCACUUUAACACUGAGGCGUGAUGACGAGGCACUACGGUGCUGAAGCAACAAAUGCCCUGCUUCCAGGAAAAGCCUCUAAGCAUCAGGUAACAUCAAAUCGUACCCCAAACCGACACAGGUGGUCAGGUAGAGAAUACCAAGGCGCUUGAGAGAACUCGGGUGAAGGAACUAGGCAAAAUGGUGCCGUAACUUCGGGAGAAGGCACGCUGACAUGUAGGUGAAGUGAUUUACUCAUGGAGCUGAAGUCAGUCGAAGAUACCAGCUGGCUGCAACUGUUUAUUAAAAACACAGCACUGUGCAAACACGAAAGUGGACGUAUACGGUGUGACGCCUGCCCGGUGCCGGAAGGUUAAUUGAUGGGGUCAGCGCAAGCGAAGCUCCUGAUCGAAGCCCCGGUAAACGGCGGCCGUAACUAUAACGGUCCUAAGGUAGCGAAAUUCCUUGUCGGGUAAGUUCCGACCUGCACGAAUGGCGUAAUGAUGGCCAGGCUGUCUCCACCCGAGACUCAGUGAAAUUGAACUCGCUGUGAAGAUGCAGUGUACCCGCGGCAAGACGGAAAGACCCCGUGAACCUUUACUAUAGCUUGACACUGAACAUUGAGCCUUGAUGUGUAGGAUAGGUGGGAGGCUUUGAAGUGUGGACGCCAGUCUGCAUGGAGCCGACCUUGAAAUACCACCCUUUAAUGUUUGAUGUUCUAACGUGGACCCGUAAUCCGGGUUGCGGACAGUGUCUGGUGGGUAGUUUGACUGGGGCGGUCUCCUCCUAAAGAGUAACGGAGGAGCACGAAGGUUGGCUAAUCCUGGUCGGACAUCAGGAGGUUAGUGCAAUGGCAUAAGCCAGCUUGACUGCGAGCGUGACGGCGCGAGCAGGUGCGAAAGCAGGUCAUAGUGAUCCGGUGGUUCUGAAUGGAAGGGCCAUCGCUCAACGGAUAAAAGGUACUCCGGGGAUAACAGGCUGAUACCGCCCAAGAGUUCAUAUCGACGGCGGUGUUUGGCACCUCGAUGUCGGCUCAUCACAUCCUGGGGCUGAAGUAGGUCCCAAGGGUAUGGCUGUUCGCCAUUUAAAGUGGUACGCGAGCUGGGUUUAGAACGUCGUGAGACAGUUCGGUCCCUAUCUGCCGUGGGCGCUGGAGAACUGAGGGGGGCUGCUCCUAGUACGAGAGGACCGGAGUGGACGCAUCACUGGUGUUCGGGUUGUCAUGCCAAUGGCACUGCCCGGUAGCUAAAUGCGGAAGAGAUAAGUGCUGAAAGCAUCUAAGCACGAAACUUGCCCCGA